GACGAACGCUGGCGGCGUGCUUAACACAUGCAAGUCGAACGGAAAGGCCCUGCUUUUGUGGGGUGCUCGAGUGGCGAACGGGUGAGUAACACGUGAGUAACCUGCCCUUGACUUUGGGAUAACUUCAGGAAACUGGGGCUAAUACCGGAUAGGAGCUCCCGCUGCGUGGUGGGGGUUGGAAAGUUUCGGCGGUUGGGGAUGGACUCGCGGCUUAUCAGCUUGUUGGUGGGGUAGUGGCUUACCAAGGCUUUGACGGGUAGCCGGCCUGAGAGGGUGACCGGCCACAUUGGGACUGAGAUACGGCCCAGACUCCUACGGGAGGCAGCAGUGGGGAAUAUUGCACAAUGGGCGGAAGCCUGACGCAGCAACGCCGCGUGCGGGAUGACGGCCUUCGGGUUGUAAACCGCUUUCGCCUGUGACGAAGCGUGAGUGACGGUAAUGGGUAAAGAAGCACCGGCUAACUACGUG
rnacentral:rRNA from 1 species